GGCCCAGUGGCCUAAUGGAGAAGGCAUCAGCCUCCAGAGCUGGGAAUUGUGGGUUCAAGUCCCACCUGGGUCA